rnacentral:lncRNA from 1 species
CUCUGGCAGGCUUUUAGGAAUGUGUUGGAUAUGUACUUUGCAGUAAAUUUUGAUGGACGUAAAGUGGAAUUGUUAAAGGUGGUUAUCAGUGGUCAGGAGGUAAAGACCAAUAGUAUGUAUUCAACUAUUCACAUUAUGUACUAUGUGCCUUAAUUUCAAAUAAGGUUGUUCUUUAUAUUUGCAAGUUUCUGAAAAAAUAAUCUUGUAUAAAGUGUCAUUUUUAGGGGUCGGUUCGACGCUUUGUAGAGGUUCCACUUCAGGGGUCCUUCAUGGCAACAUUAACUCUUGGCGCGUAAGUCUUUGACUUGAGAUGUAUUUCUUUCUUACUGUUUUUUCUUCUUCUAUAGAAAUAGUGCGUCAAUUAUGAACUUUGAACAAAUUACCUGCAAGAAAAUGGGCCACAUGAUGAUAAGGUGUUCAUAUGCAAUUUAUAUUUCUUGUAAAGAUAUGCUUACACAAUUAGUACUUGAAAUUUGUUCUGCUUUCUUUCUUCUCGUUAUUGCUUACAUGAAUAAGAAUGAUUUUUAGUGAGAGACUACAAUUCAUAUAUUUUGUAGGUAGUUCCAUGAUACUUCAUGAGUGUGGCUGAAUUUGAACAACAAGGCAAUGUAGCUAAGGAAAAAGAUAAGAUUUACUGAUAUGUUGUUCAAGUCGACGGUGGUGACGACAUAACAGUGGUGCAACUGAAGGUAAAUAGUUCUGUCAGACUGCAGACUAUUUUUUCAUGUUACUGGUAGUUCUGAGUUGCUCUGUUUAUAUACUAUUGUCUGUUUUAUGUCACACAAAGAGGGCUUGUCCUCCUGGAUGUUGAUAGUAGAAGAAACCUGACGAUGCAACCCCUGGUUGCGUGCUGAUCAGGAGUUGUAAUACUUUUAUCUUAAUUAUCAAUAAAUUUUAACUUUCAUAAUAUUAUAGAAGAUAUCAUUGUAUUUUUGGAUUUCAUUGAGAAUUUUGGUAGAUUAUAGCAAGUG